GGAUGUGAUGGUGAUCUGACUGGAACAUCUGUCAGCCCAUUGAUCUCCAGGGUUGAUUCAGCUGAUCUGGCUGGCUAGGCAGGUCCACUUCCACCCUCGCCUCUCCAUGCGCAUCCUUCCCAAAGCUGCAUGCUCAGUUGAAGAGGACAACCUCCCCCGUUAGAGGAGGACCAUUUUUCAGUCAAGGGUAUAUGAGUAGCUGUGUUCCCCUGCUAGAACCUCCAAACAAGCUCUCAAGGUCCAUUUGAAAUAAUACCAGCAAUGAUGAGAGUUCCUAUUGCUUCACCCUCUUCAGAAUUUGGGAGUAUCAGUUGUCUAGUAGUUUUUUAUUC
ensembl:misc_RNA 7SK 7SK RNA